UUGAUCCUACGGGAGGCAGCAGUGGGGAAUAUUGCACAAUGGGGGAAACCCUGAUGCAGCGACGCCGCGUGAGUGAAGAAGUAUCUCGGUACGUAAAGCUCUAUCAGCAGGGAAGAAAAAAAGUCUUUGGCUUUGGACGGUACCUGACUAAGAAGCCCUGGCUAACUACGUGCCAGCAGCCGCGGUAAUACGUAGAGGGCAAGCGUUAUCCGGAUUUACUGGGUGUAAAGGGAGCGCAGACGGCAGCGCAAGUCUGGAGUGAAAUGCCGGGGCGCAACCCCGGAACUGCUUUGGCAACUGUGCAG
rnacentral:rRNA from 1 species